rnacentral:rRNA from 1 species
GGUUAAGCGAACAAGCGUACACGGUGGAUGCCCUGGCAGUCAGAGGCGAUGAAGGACGUGCUAAUCUGCGAAAAGCGCCGGUAAGGUGAUAUGAACCGUUAUAACCGGCGAUGUCCGAAUGGGGAAACCCGGUGCACUUCGGUGCAUCAUCGUUAGCUGAAUACAUAGGCUAACGAGGCGAACCGGGGGAACUGAAACAUCUAAGUACCCCGAGGAAAAGAAAUCAACCGAGAUUCCCCCAGUAGCGGCGAGCGAACGGGGAACAGCCCAGAGCCUGAAUCAGUUUGUGUGUCAGUGGAACGGUCUGGAAAGGCCGGCGAUACAGGGUGACAGCCCCGUACACGAAGGCACACAGGCUGUGAGCUCGAUGAGUAGGGCGGGACACGUGAUAUCCUGUCUGAAGAUGGGGGGACCAUCCUCCAAGGCUAAAUACUCCUGACUGACCGAUAGUGAACCAGUACCGUGAGGGAAAGGCGAAAAGAACCCCGGCGAGGGGAGUGAAACAGAACCUGAAACCGUGUACGUACAAGCAGUGGGAGCCUUCGUAAGAGGGUGACUGCGUACCUUUUGUAUAAUGGGUCAGCGACUUAUAUUCUGUAGCAAGGUUAACCGUAUAGGGGAGCCGAAGGGAAACCGAGUCUUAA